rnacentral:rRNA from 1 species
AUUGAACGCUGGCGGUAUGCUUAACACAUGCAAGUCGAACGGUAGCAGGCCUUCGGGCGCUGACGAGUGGCGGACAGGUGAGUAACGCGUAGGAAUCUGCCUCAUAGGUGGGGACAACGUGGGGAAACUCACGCUAAUACCGCAUACGCCCUACGGGGAAAGGCGGGGAUCUUCGGACCUCGCGCUAUGAGAUGAGCCUGCGUUAGAUUAGCUAGUUGGUAGGGUAAAGGCCUACCAAGGCGACGAUCUAUAGCUGGUCUGAGAGGACGAUCAGCCACACUGGGACUGAGACACGGCCCAGACUCCUACGGGAGGCAGCAGUGGGGAAUAUUGGACAAUGGGCGCAAGCCUGAUCCAGCAAUACCGCGUGUGUGAAGAAGGCCUUAGGGUUGUAAAGCUCUUUCGGUGGGGAAGAAAUUGCUUCGGUUAAUACCUGGAGUAGAUGACGGUACCCGCAUAAGAAGCACCGGCUAACUACGUGCCAGCAGCCGCGGUAAU